AACGAACGCUGGCGGCAUGCCUAACACAUGCAAGUCGAACGAGACCUUCGGGUCUAGUGGCGCACGGGUGCGUAACGCGUAGGAAUCUGCCCUUGGGUUCGGAAUAACAGUUAGAAAUGACUGCUAAUACCGGAUAAUGUCUUCGGACCAAAGAUUUAUCGCCCAGGGAUGAGCCCGCGUAGGAUUAGCUAGUUGGUGAGGUAAAGGCUCACCAAGGCGACGAUCCUUAGCUGGUCUGAGAGGAUGAUCAGCCACACUGGGACUGAGACACGGCCCAGACUCCUACGGGAGGCAGCAGUGGGGAAUAUUGGACAAUGGGCGAAAGCCUGAUCCAGCAAUGCCGCGUGAGUGAUGAAGGCCUUAGGGUUGUAAAGCUCUUUUACCCGGGAGUGAUAAUGACAGUACCGGGAGAAUAAGCCCCGGCUAACUCCGUGCCAGCAGCCGCGGUAAU
rnacentral:rRNA from 1 species